rnacentral:rRNA from 1 species
CCCUUAGAUGCUCUGGGCCGCACGCGCGCUACACUGGUCGAUGCAACGAGUUUCUUUCCUUGGCCGACAGGCCUGGGCAAUCUUUGAACAUCGAUCGUGAUCGGGAUAGAUUCUUGUAAUUUUUGAUCUUAAACGAGGAAUUCCUAGUAAACGCAAGUCAUCAGCUUGCAUUGAUUACGUCCCUGCCCUUUGUACACACCGCCCGUCGCACCUACCGAUUGAAUGGUCCGGUGAAAUCUCCGGACUGGCGUGAGUCGGAGCAAUCUGACAAACACCGGAAAGUUGAUUAAACCUUACCACUUAGAGGAAGGAGAAGUCGUAACA